UACAGAGGGUGCGAGCGUUAAUCGGAAUUACUGGGCGUAAAGCGUGCGUAGACGGUAGCGUAAGUCAGAUGUGAAAGCCCCGGGCUCAACCUGGGAACUGCAUUUGAGACUGCUCUGCUCGGGUGCGGAAGAGGGAAGCGGAAUUUCCGGUGUAGCAGUGAAAUGCGUAGAGAUGUGGAGGAAUACCGAUGGCGAAGGCAGCCCCCUGGGAUAACACUGACGCUCAUGCACGAAAGCGUGGGGAGCAAACAGG
rnacentral:rRNA from 1 species